rnacentral:rRNA from 1 species
GUGCCAGCAGCCGCGGUAAUACGUAGGUGGCAAGCGUUGUCCGGAAUUAUUGGGCGUAAAGCGCUCGCAGGCGGUCUUUUAAGUCUGAUGUGAAAGCCCACGGCUUAACCGUGGAGGGUCAUUGGAAACUGGAGGACUUGAGUACAGAAGAGGAGAGUGGAAUUCCACGUGUAGCGGUGAAAUGCGUAGAGAUGUGGAGGAACACCAGUGGCGAAGGCGACUCUCUGGUCUGUAACUGACGCUGAGGAGCGAAAGCGUGGGUAGCGAACAGGAUUAGAUACCCUGGUAGUCC